rnacentral:rRNA from 1 species
CAGGAUGAACGCUAGCGGCAGGCCUAAUACAUGCAAGUCGGACGGGAUCCAUCGGAGAGCUUGCUCGAAGAUGGUGAGAGUGGCGCACGGGUGCGUAACGCGUGAGCAACCUACCUCUAUCAGGGGGAUAGCCUCUCGAAAGAGAGAUUAACACCGCAUAACAUCAACAGUUCGCAUGUUCGGUUGAUUAAAUAUUUAUAGGAUAGAGAUGGGCUCGCGUGACAUUAGCUAGUUGGUAGGGUAACGGCUUACCAAGGCGACGAUGUCUAGGGGCUCUGAGAGGAGAAUCCCCCACACUGGUACUGAGACACGGACCAGACUCCUACGGGAGGCAGCAGUAAGGAAUAUUGGUCAAUGGGCGGAAGCCUGAACCAGCCAUGCCGCGUGCAGGAUGACUGCCCUAUGGGUUGUAAACUGCUUUUGUCCAGGAAUAAACCUAAAUACGUGUAUUUAGCUGAAUGUACUGGAAGAAUAAGGAUCGGCUAACUCCGUGCCAGCAGCCGCGGUAAUACGGAGGAUCCGAGCGUUAUCCGGAUUUAUUGGGUUUAAAGGGUGCGUAGGCGGCCUAUUAAGUCAGGGGUGAAAUACGGUGGCUCAACCAUCGCAGUGCCUUUGAUACUGAUGGGCUUGAAUCCAUUUGAAGUGGGCGGAAUAAGACAAGUAGCGGUGAAAUGCAUAGAUAUGUCUUAGAACUCCGAUUGCGAAGGCAGCUCACUAAGCUGGUAUUGACGCUGAUGCACGAAAGCGUGGGGAUCGAACAGGAUUAGAUACCCUGGUAGUCCACGCCCUAAACGAUGAUAACUCGAUGUUGGCGAUAGACAGCCAGCGUCCCAGCGAAA